rnacentral:rRNA from 1 species
AACCGGAGCUAAUACCGGAUAAUAUUUCGAACCGCAUGGUUCGAUAGUGAAAGAUGGUUUUGCUAUCUCUUAUAGAUGGACCCGCGCCGUAUUAGCUAGUUGGUAAGGUAACGGCUUACCAAGGCGACGAUACGUAGCCGACCUGAGAGGGUGAUCGGCCACACUGGAACUGAGACACGGCUCCACACUCCUACGGGAGGCAGCAGUAGGGAAUCUUCCUCAGUGGGCGAAAGCCUGACGGAGCAACGCCGCGUGAGUGAUGAAGGUCUUCGGAUCAUAAAACUCUGUUAUUAGGGAAGAACAUACAUGUAAGUAACUAUGCACGUCGUGACGGUACCUAAUCAGAAAGCCACGGCUAACUACGUGCCAGCAGCCGCGGUAAUACGUAGGUGGCAAGCGUUAUCCGGAAUUAUUGGGUGUAAAGCGCGCGUACGCGGUUUUUUAGUCUGAUGUGAAAGCCACGGCUCACCGUGGAGGGUCAUUGGAAACUGGAAACUUGAGUGCAGAAGAGGAAGUGGAAUCCAUGUGUAGCGGUGAAUGCGCAGAGAUAUGGAGGACACCAGUGGCGAAGGCGACUUUCUGGUCU